rnacentral:rRNA from 1 species
GAUGAACGCUGGCGGCGUGCCUAAUACAUGCAAGUCGAGCGAACGGACGAGAAGCUUGCUCCUCUGAUGUUAGCGGCGGACGGGUGAGUAACACGUGGAUAACCUACCUAUAAGACUGGGAUAACUUCGGGAAACCGGAGCUAAUACCGGAUAAUAUUUUGAACCGCAUGGUUCAAAAGUGAAAGACGGUCUUGCUGUCACUUAUAGAUGGAUCCGCGCUGCAUUAGCUAGUUGGUAAGGUAACGGCUUACCAAGGCUACGAUGCAUAGCCGACCUGAAAGGGUGGUCCGCCACACUGGAUGUGAGACACGGUCCAGACUCCGACGGGAGGCAGCAGUAGGGAAUCUUACGCGAUGGGCGAAAGCCUGACGGAGCAACGCCGCGUGAGUGAUGAAGGUCUUCGGAUCGUAAAACUCUGUUAUUAGGGAAGAACAUAUGUGUAAGUAACUGUGCACAUCUUGACGGUACCUAAUCAGAAAGCCACGGCUAACUACGUG